GAUGAACGCUGGCGGCGUGCCUAAUACAUGCAAGUUGAGCGAACAGACGAGGAGCUUGCUCCUCUGACGUUAGCGGCGGACGGGUGAGUAACACGUGGAUAACCUACCUAUAAGACUGGGAUAACUUCGGGAAACCGGAGCUAAUACCGGAUAAUAUAUUGAACCGCAUGGUUCAAUAGUGAAAGACGGUUUUGCUGUCACUUAUAGAUGGAUCCGCGCCGCAUUAGCUAGUUGGUAAGGUAACGGCUUACCAAGGCAACGAUGCGUAGCCGACCUGAGAGGGUGAUCGGCCACACUGGAACUGAGACACGGUCCAGACUCCUACGGGAGGCAGCAGUAGGGAAUCUUCCGCAAUGGGCGAAAGCCAGACGGAGCAACGCCGCGUGAGUGAUGAAGGUCUUCGGAUCGUAAAACUCUGUUAUUAGGGAAGAACAAAUGUGUAAGUAACUAUGCACGUCUUGACGGUACCUAAUCAGAAAGCCACGGCUAACUACGUG
rnacentral:rRNA from 1 species